rnacentral:lncRNA from 1 species
CUUUGUACCUACAGAUAUAGUCCUAUUUUAAAUAAUAUUUCCGGAUGGCAACACCUCCCGCUUUCAUCAAAAAAAAAUGGUAGCAUAUAUAUUUCUUAGCUUUCGUAGUACAAGUUCACAAAUUCAAUUCAAGUUAUACUUCAUUAUUGUGGAAGAUCUCCUAGAUUUUUGGAAACUUGGAACCAUAUCUAUAUGGUGGUAGCAAGAACUAGGCACCACAC